AAAGCUGGGCGGCAAGAAUACACAUGCAGUCGAGCGGAUGAAGGGAGCUUGCUCCUGGAUUCAGCGGCGGACGGGUGAGUAAUGCCUAGGAAUCUGCCUGGUAGUGGGGGAUAACGUCCGGAAACGGGCGCUAAUACCGCAUACGUCCUGAGGGAGAAAGUGGGGGAUCUUCGGACCUCACGCUAUCAGAUGAGCCUAGGUCGGAUUAGCUAGUUGGUGGGGUAAAGGCCUACCAAGGCGACGAUCCGUAACUGGUCUGAGAGGAUGAUCAGUCACACUGGAACUGAGACACGGUCCAGACUCCUACGGGAGGCAGCAGUGGGGAAUAUUGGACAAUGGGCGAAAGCCUGAUCCAGCCAUGCCGCGUGUGUGAAGAAGGUCUUCGGAUUGUAAAGCACUUUAAGUUGGGAGGAAGGGCAGUAAGUUAAUACCUUGCUGUUUUGACGUUACCAACAGAAUAAGCACCGGCUAACUUCGUGCCAGCAGCCGCGGUAAUACGAAGGGUGCAAGCGUUAAUCGGAAUUACUGGGCGUAAAGCGCGCGUACGUGGUUCAGCAAGUUGGAUGUGAAAUCCCCGGGCUCACCCUGGGAACUGCAUCCACAACUACUGAUCUACAAUGCGGUAA
rnacentral:rRNA from 1 species